UUGCUUUCUGCCGCAAGUUCCGAUGAUCUGGAAUCGGAUUCCCGCCUGCCUGCGUGAUUUACGCUUCCGUCUGUAGCCGAAGCGACAACACUCAGGCGUGCUUAUUUGUACGCGUGAUUUCGUGCCGCACACCGAAGAGCAUUGAUGUUGCUGCGUGUGAUGAGACACCACGAUGCUGGAAUCCGAGGCCGCGGUUGGUGAGUUCUAACUCGUUCCGCCGACAAAACAGUGCUCCUCUUCUAUUUAUACGCACAACCGCGGCUCCGUGCGCAUACACUCUCUCUCGGAAAUCUCUGGUUGCCUUCUCUGCCUCUCUGCUCUCUCUAAAUCUACAAGAAUACACAGAAAGGAAAACUUGGUAGCCACUUUCAGUCGUGAUUUUGGCUGAUUUAGAGUUGGAUUUAGAAGAUGCUGAAGUUGAAGAAAGGUAGAUUAAGGCAUUAUUUCAGCACUAGGAGGAGUCAUUUGGAGUUUCUGGAGUAGGAUUUGCCGUGCAAAGUGAAGUACGAACGGGAAGAACGAGGUAAAAUAAUUCAUCUUAGUAGCAAACAAGGAGGAGAUGACGUGAUUGAAGAAAUUGUGUUUCCAUCUUCGUUGUCCCUUUUGAGGUUGACUCCGUUCACAUAGUACUGGUGACGGAUAUUUAUUCGAACUAUUUUGACGCUUAAUUGCAUUCGCAAGCACAUCCAUAUUGGAGCUAAGGUUAUGGCUGAAGUGCCAGUGCUUUUGGAGGGGCCCCAUGACGCCGGCCACCGUUGCCACCUAUUUUUGACCCCAAAUAAAGAACAUGAUUAUUGGAGUUUCAGACUUCGAACCAUAAAGAAAACCUGGCCAAUACACAGUUCUUUCGUUCCUCACCUUGAUGCUUAUGGACUACAUGCUUUUGGUAGGCUCACAUCAUGCGAAGACCAGUUAUGUUCGGACCCAUCCCUUUUGACAUCCCUCGUUGACCGGUGGAGACCUGAAACUCACACCUUUCACUUUCGUUUUGGGGAGCUUGCACCUACACUGAAAGAUGUUUCUAUGAUCCUUGCUCUAUGUUAAGGCAUAUCUCUCUUGA